rnacentral:rRNA from 1 species
GGUUAGUUUUACCCUACUGAUGAAGCGAUGCCGCAACAGUAAUCCAUCUUAGUACGAGAGGAACAGUUGGAUCAGAUAUUUGGUUAAUACGGUUGCCUGAACAGGCAGUGCCGUGAAGCUACCAUCUGUAUAAAUUAUGGCUGAACGCCUCUAAGCCAGAAUUGAUGCUGAAAGCGGCGUCUCUGGGCUAAUUACGAACAAAUAUUGCUUAUGCAACAUUUCAUACAAUCUGGUUCUACGCACAGGCCGGAAGGUGCCUGCGCUGUUCCUGAAAUCAUAAUUUUACAUUAGCUCAGGUUAAAUCAAAUGUAGACGACUUUACUGGGAAAGGAGUGCUGUAAGUGUUAGAGUCGACUCGUUCGACGAUAUGCUGAGGCUCA